GACGAACGCUGGCGGCGUGCUUAACACAUGCAAGUCGAACGGAAAGGCCCUGCUUGCAGGGUACUCGAGUGGCGAACGGGUGAGUAACACGUGGGUGAUCUGCCCUGCACUUCGGGAUAAGCCUGGGAAACUGGGUCUAAUACCGGAUAGGAGCCAUUUUUAGUGUGAUGGUUGGAAAGUUUUUUCGGUGUAGGAUGAGCUCGCGGCCUAUCAGCUUGUUGGUGGGGUAAUGGCCUACCAAGGCGGCGACGGGUAGCCGGCCUGAGAGGGUGGACGGCCACAUUGGGACUGAGAUACGGCCCAGACUCCUACGGGAGGCAGCAGUGGGGAAUAUUGCACAAUGGGCGCAAGCCUGAUGCAGCGACGCCGCGUGGGGGAUGACGGCCUUCGGGUUGUAAACUCCUUUCGCUAGGGACGAAGCUUUUUGUGAAGGUACCUAGAUAAGAAGCACCGGCUAACUACGUG
rnacentral:rRNA from 1 species